rnacentral:lncRNA from 1 species
CUAACAUCCUGCCCCCAACUCCCUGAAUCAGCCAGCAUCGUAUUUCGCAAGCAGCUCACUGAAGGUUAAAUUUUAAGAAGGGCUGCCAUGGAAAACAAGAAGGGUAUCCAGCAUACACGAGUGUCAGCCUCAGGUCAACCAGUUUCUGCCACCAGAACGGAGAAAAGAUGGAGGAGGGGCAGUAGAGACUGGACUGCUAUUGGAAAUGAUGAAGCCUCGCUGCAAAUGUGUCAGCCAUGCUAGCCUUCUACCCUCACCCACCAAGUGUCUUUUCUCCACCCCCAUCCCGGGGCAAGGGGCACGGAGGCGGCAGAGGAGGCCCAGUAUGACUGGGACUUUCAGCACCAGUCAGUGGUUGUAUGAGGACAAAUCCCACCUCAUGGCUUUUUCUUAAAAAUCUAUGAUUUGUUUUGCUUCCUAUAAACUUAUUAUUAUUUCAAAAUAAAAAGCUUUUUUUUUCACUACUAAA